CCUACGGGAGGCAGCAGUGAGGAAUAUUGGUCAAUGGCCGAGAGGCUGAACCAGCCAAGUCGCGUGAGGGAAGACGGCCCUACGGGUUGUAAACCUCUUUUGUCGGGGAGCAAAGCGAGUCACGUGUGACUCAUUGAGAGUACCCGAAGAAAAAGCAUCGGCUAACUCCGUGCCAGCAGCCGCGGUAAUACGGAGGAUGCGAGCGUUAUCCGGAUUUAUUGGGUUUAAAGGGUGCGCAGGCGGAGGUGCAAGUCAGCGGUCAAAUUGCGGGGCUCAACCCCGUACUGCCGUUGAAACUGCAGCCCUUGAGUGCGCGAGAAGUAGGCGGAAUGCGUGGUGUAGCGGUGAAAUGCAUAGAUAUCACGCAGAACUCCGAUUGCGAAGGCAGCAUACCGGCGCGCAACUGACGCUCAUGCACGAAAGCGUGGGUAUCGAACAGGAUCAGAUACCCGUGUAGUC
rnacentral:rRNA from 1 species